CAGAUCUUUCUUGGAGGUCAGCUGGAACUCCCACUGACCUCUUUGCAGCUACAUUUACACCAACACAAAGCAGCUGAUGCAUUGGAGAGCUAGAGAACCUGAAAAAGAAGGCAAGAAUUUCUCCUUCGCUGAAACUGUAUGUCUGAUUGUAGAGAUGUUUCCCUGCUGCUGGCAGUAAGCUGCAGGAAAAAUGGGACAAUCCUUGGAAGAGAACAAGAGGUGACUGAACGUGCAGCCAUGCAGCUAAUGCACCGAGUGGGCAUUCCAGCAGCCUGGAAAAUGAUUAUUUAUGGUGUGGCUGUGUCCACAAUGACCUGGGUGCUUUCCAAAUACAAGGGAAAAAAACCAUCCUUGCACCCAACAGCGAAGGCUGUUCGAGGACAGCCUCAGCAAAGAAACAAGCUACUGGAGCUGAAGACAGACAUAACUAAUUUUCUUAAGGGAAUUGCUCUCUUUAAUGUCAAUACUUGCAACCAUACUAAUAUCAGUGCUAUUACUACUAAUUACUACUAUUACUACUAAAAUCCUGUCUCUUUUACAAGUAUCUUCACUGUUUACCUUUUCUCCACAACCAAGAUUCCUUAUGUUCUCCCUUUUAUCAGGUCAAAAAUUUUUUUGGUAAAAAGUGAGUCAUAUACCCCUAAGCUAUUAAGAGGUAACAGUCUGCAGUUUUAGGGGCUGGGAUAACUUACAGCCACACAGAAUUUAAAAGUGAAUAAAUCUUGUGCAGCAGUUUGCCCCAUGUUCUCAA